UCGGUCAAACGUUUGACCCAACUGGCUCAUCUAUCUAUUUCCUUUCUCUUCUCAUCUUUUACCUUUUCUUUCCCCUUUAUUCGCCCAAUUUGUAGUUUAUAAUACACAGAACAUUGGAGAAUGGAAAUUUGAAUUCCAUAAACUGAAAAUAUACUCUCUCCAAACUCAUUCAACACUCUGUAAACCUAACCCCUUUCAUCAUCGCCGACACCAUCCUUACCGGCCACUCUCAUCCAUGGAUCACUUCUUCGAAUUGUCUUUAAAGACAACACAUGUGUCGUAACUCAUCCUGAUCCAUUGAUUUCUUUUCAAUUCAAAGAAAUAAUACCGAUUUCUUAUGCAAUUGAUGCUCGGAGGGUUACCCAUUCCACUACCAGAAGGUUAUGACUUUUAUGGGGGUUAAAAGGGAGACCGAUCAAACAUGUGGAGACGUUUUUUUUUUCUUUCGAUCCCAUCGCCACUCUAGAUUUGAACUACUAACAACUUCAGUACUCUCUUAUCCUUCACUUUCUCUUUCUCUAAGAAGAAGUAGAUAAAACUCGAUCUGAACCCUCUAGGACUUUUACAUCACCAUCGGAUCAAAACCACUAGGACUUUGGUGUGUUUUCUUUUGCAGCCAAACACAAAGAAAAAAACAGACGCCUACUUCUUCUUAUUUUCUUCUUUGUUGGUCUGAUAAAGGUUAUGGUUUUGGUUCUCGAUGGUGCUACGGUGUUCAUCGGCUGGAAAGUGAGGUUCACGGAGGUGACAUCGGUAGUUUAAGGAGGCUGUAAUAGAUUGCGAUUUUCAGUAGUGGAGGAUUGUGGUUGGCGGUGAUUAAGGCGUGCAUCUAAUGUCUCAAAAUUGAUGUCUCCACAAACACUUUCACCAUCGAUUACAUCCUUAUCUCCACACCAUUGAUGUGCUAAAAACGAAGAGCCCUAACCUUUUAUUUGGAUUUUUGAAUAUUGGUAAUAUAGCUUCGAUUUUUAUUUUUAUAUCUGGUUCUUUAGCUUUGACUGAAGGUAAUAUAGCUUUCCUAUAUUUGAAUGUAUGAUUUAUAUUGUAGACUCUGAUAUGUAGGAUUGUCUUUCUUAUUAGGCUCCAUAGGAUUUAACAAUUUUGAUUAAAUGUGUUGAUAUAACUAAAAUGUAAUGUUGUUUACGUAUGCUCAUAUGUUUUUUGCAGGCUUUUCAAUAUAACCUUACAAAAAAGAUGCGCUUUCUUCAUCAUCCUUUCUAUUCCUAGGCUUUCUUCUUCAUCUAGGGUUUUUGUGAGUUCUGUUUUCUAUGUAGGUUAUUCUACAUUGCGAGUGUCUGUGUGAAACACACAUACGUCGAUCUUGAAACAGGCUCUUUUUUACAGAAAUAUUUAAAAAGACGAUACAAAAGCAUGGUCUAAGUGGUGGUGUAAUUUCUCUGAGUGAAGGUAAAUCGAUAGAGUUUCCACAGGAUGUGUUUUAACUUUUCUAGAAUCAUAAAGAUUGUGAGAUUCUUUUAUAUAUUUUUGGUUUGUUUUUGGCAUUUUUUUGGUUAUUUGUUUCAUUCUAAUCCAUAUUUUGUGAUAUAUCAUUUUUUAUUUCAAAAACAAAUGUUAAUAUAGCUCUAUGUUUUGUUGUUUUUUAAUAGAGUACUCUUUUAAAGAGUCGAGGAUGGCUGCUAGAUCAAGAAACACUUGUAGUACAUAUGCAAUUAGAAAAUUGAAGAGAUUAUCUAUUACAAUCCUAUCAUUUGCUUUUUGUUAUAUAGGUAUAGGGUUAUCAGGUUAUGAGCUUCUCAUUUAUCUUUUUACAUUUUUGGGUGCUUGUGAAUUAUAGCAUUAUUGUUUUCAAAAUCUACACUUGAUACUCAUAAACCCUUCCAACAAUCUAACCAUGUCGGCUAAAACAUGAUUAAUGGAUUUUGAUCUUGGCUUAAAAUUGUUAAUUAUCAGGUCUUUUCUUUAUAGGAUGAUGCAAAUCUUGUAGUCUCUUAACAUGACAAUAAUAAAAAGGUACAUUUUAAAGGUUAUUCAUGUGAUAUAUGUUACUAUAAACAGGUACAAUGCAGGAUAGUUACCUAAAACCGAUGUUUUCUUGGCUACAAGAAAUUUUGGAUCAAUGUAUUUCUUACAUCAGCUACAAGGUUGAUUGGUUGAACAUAGACCAUAAAAAUUUCCUAUGGAAAAUAGAUCCCUUGCAAAUGGAACAUCGGGUGGAAUUGGUUUCUCUAUUAGUUGGUUAAACGAGGUCUAAUAUUCUUUUACUUAACUGUUGUUGGGGUCAGGUUUCCUAUUAAUCAUUGUGUAGAUAUGUGAUAUAACAAUAAUGUAUUUAAUUUUCUUUUCAUUUUAUGUGUGUUUUUGUUGUUUAUUACUCAAUAUUAAAUUAUAUUGGAAGAAGAGAAUAGAACAUUGUCAAAAUCAUGUUUCUUUUGGGUAAGUUGUCACUGAAUGUAACAGAAAAAGAUAAUGUGAGCAUUUUGUUUUAUAUUGAUUUUUUGUUUUCAUGUUUUGUU